rfam:Aeribacillus pallidus strain 8m3 NODE_3, whole genome shotgun sequence.
GCAUCCUUUAACUGCAGUCCCGUGAGGCUGAGAAGGAAUCGUAUGGCAAUAGGUGAGCUAUGCACAAAACCUCUCAUCCUCAGGAUGAGAGGUUUUUUUAA